rnacentral:rRNA from 1 species
CCUACGGGAGGCAGCAGUGAGGAAUAUUGGUCAAUGGACGAGAGUCUGAACCAGCCAAGUAGCGUGAAGGAUGACUGCCCUAUGGGUUGUAAACUUCUUUUAUAUGGGAAUAAAAUGUUCCACGUGUGGGAUUUUGUAUGUACCAUAUGAAUAAGGAUCGGCUAACUCCGUGCCAGCAGCCGCGGUAAUACGGAGGAUCCGAGCGUUAUCCGGAUUUAUUGGGUUUAAAGGGAGCGUAGGUGGAUUGUUAAGUCAGUUGUGAAAGUUUGCGGGUCAACCGUAAAAUUGCAGUUGAAACUGGCAGUCUUGAGUACAGUAGAGGUGGGCGGAAUUCGUGGUGUAGCGGUGAAAUGCUUAGAUAUCACGAAGAAAUCCGAUUGCGAAGGCAGUUCACUGGACUGCAACUGACACUGAGGCUCGAAAGUGUGGGUAUCAAACAGGAUUAGAUACCCCGGUAGUC